rnacentral:ncRNA from 1 species
ACAGAAUUGCAUAGACGACCUCAUAUAUGACGGGGAUAAGGCCCGUACGUCUCUACCUGGGAACCGUAAAUUUCCGGACUAUGAGGGGAGUUUAAGCGUGC